AACUUUUAACAAUGGAUCACUUGGCUCUCGCAUCGAUGAAGAACGCAGCGAAAUGCGAUAAGUAAUGUGAAUUGCAGCAUUCAGUGAAUCAUCGAAUCUUUGAACGCAUCUUGCGCUCCUUGGUAUUCCGAGGAGCAUGCCUGUUUGAGUGUCAUAAAGUUCUCAACCACAUUGUGAUGUGGAUUGGACAUGGGAAUUUUUGCAGGCCUUGCAAAGAGGUCUGCUUUCCUGAAACAGAUUAGUGGUAUCUGAGCAGACACCUACUACGGGUGUGAUAAACCAUCUAUGCCUAUUUGUAGAAUGCUGCGACAGGACUGCUUCGAAAAUCUCAUUUGUUGACCAAUUUGACCUCAAAUCAGGUAGGACUACCCGCUGAACUUAAGCAUAUCAAUAAGCGGAGGCU
rnacentral:misc_RNA from 1 species